rnacentral:rRNA from 1 species
GUUUCUGGACCUAAAUACCCUAAAGGCACCAGAUCCUGUCUGAUCUUGGAAGCGAAGCAGGGUCAGCUCGACUUCGUAUUUGAAUGGGAGGUCUGCCAAUGAACACCAGGUGCUGGAGGCC